UACAGAGGGUGCGAGCGUUAAUCGGAAUUACUGGGCGUAAAGCGCGCGUAGGCGGCUUUGCAAGUCGGGUGUGAAAUCCCCAGGCUUAACCUGGGAACUGCAUUCGAGACUGCAUUGCUAGAGUAUGGGAGAGGGAAGUGGAAUUUCCGGUGUAGCGGUGAAAUGCGUAGAUAUCGUAAGGAAGACCAGUGGCGAAGGCGGGUCUCUGGGACGGUACUGACGCUGAGACGCGAAAGCGUGGGGAGCGAACAGG
rnacentral:rRNA from 1 species